rnacentral:rRNA from 1 species
AUUGAACGCUGGCGGCAUGCUUUACACAUGCAAGUCGAACGGUAACAGGCCGCAAGGUGCUGACGAUUGGCGAACGGGUGAGUAAUGCAUCGGAACGUGCCCAGUCGGGGGGGAUAACUACUCGAAAGAGUAGCUAAUACCGCAUACGAUCUAUGGAUGAAAGCGGGGGACCGUAAGGCCUCGCGCGAUUGGAGCGGCCGAUGUCAGAUUAGGUAGUUGGUGGGGUAAAGGCUCACCAAGCCAACGAUCUGUAGCUGGUCUGAGAGGACGACCAGCCACACUGGGACUGAGACACGGCCCAGACUCCUACGGGAGGCAGCAGUGGGGAAUUUUGGACAAUGGGCGCAAGCCUGAUCCAGCAAUGCCGCGUGCAGGAAGAAGGCCUUCGGGUUGUAAACUGCUUUUGUACGGAACGAAACGGCUCUGGUUAAUACCCGGGGCUAAUGACGGUACCGUAAGAAUAAGCACCGGCUAACUACGUG